rnacentral:rRNA from 1 species
AUUUCGACGAUACGCGAAGAACCUUCCCUGGCCUUGACAUAGCCAGAAGUUUGCAGAGACGCAGAUGUGCUAGUUUACUAGAACUGUCAUACAGGUGCUGCACGGCCUGUCGUCAGCUCGUGUCUUGAGAUGUUGGGUUAAGUCCCGCAACGAGCGCAACCCUCGUGUUUAGUUACUAACAGUUCGGCUGAGGACUCUAAACAGACUGCCUGGGUAACCAGGAGGAAGGUGAGGACGACGUCAAGUCAUCAUGGCCCUUACGGCCAGGGCUACACACGUGCUACAAUGGGGUAUACAAAGAGCUGCAAUACGGUGACGUGGAGCAAAUCUCAUAAAAUAUCUCCCAGUUCGGAUUGAAGUCUGCAACUCGACUUCAUGAAGUUGGAAUCGCUAGUAAUCGUAGAUCAGCAAUGCUACGGUGAAUACGUUCCCGGGUCUUGUACUCACCGCCCGUCACACCAUGGGAAUUGAAUUCAUUCGAAGCGGGGAUGCUAAAAUAGCUACCUUCCACAGUGGAUUUAGUAACUAGGGUGAAGUCGUAACAAGGUA